rnacentral:rRNA from 1 species
AUGGCGUCGGCGUCAAGGAAGGGGAAGGGGAAGGAGGCGGGGGCGGAAGGAGUGGAAGCCCUGCUCAAGAACUUGAGGAUUGCUAAGAAGAAGAAGUGUGUGGUGCUAGGGACGGCAAGCGCAAGGGCGAAGGUAAAUCCAAACCAAGCUAUUGGGAAAGUGUUGUCCGAAAAAGCGGUGUAUGCGGAUGGCAUUGCUCAGACUCUGGGAAGGAUUUGGUGCCCAAGGGAAGGUACCUUGUGCAAGGAGCUGAGGAGGAAUUUGUUCCUGCUCACUUUCGGCCAGGCGUCGGGGAAGAGGAAAGCGCUCGAAGGGGGGCCAUGGCUAGUGGGCAAAGAUCUGCUGGUGCUGGAGGACUUCAUUGCAAGCAAAACGUUGGAUGAUUAUGAGUUCUGGUACUUCUCGAUUUGGGUUAGGGUGUCAAACAUCCCCCUGGGAAUGAUGAAUAAAGAGACUGGAGAGCUGAUUGGACAAGCAAUGGGGGAAUUCAUGGAAGCGGAGGUAGAUGCAGAGGACAUGGCAGUGGGGGAGUUCAUGAGAAUAAAGGUCAAACUUGAUGUCCAUGAGCCACUCAUGCGUGGUAUUAAAAUUCAAGUGAUCCCUGGAGAUGGGAAAGGGGAGGAGGAGGAGGAGGAGGAGGAGGAGGAGGAAGGGGACGAGAGUGAGGAGGAAAGCGAUGAGGAUCAGGGGAGCGAGCGAAUGGAUGUGGUCGGAAAGAAGAGAAAGAAUAAAAAGUGGUGCCCUUUUGCUUGUGAGUUUUUACCUAAUUUCUGCUGCACCUGUGGGAUCAUUGGCCAUACGGAUAAAGAGUGUGCCUAUAAAUUGAAAAGGGGGGAGGUGCAAUUGUACAACAAAGAGCUGAAGGUGAACAUGCUGGUCAGUUCAAGGAGGUUGGGUGGUGAGGAGGACACAGGACAGUGGAGUGGCGGAAGGGGGGGUUCUCUGCUAGAAGUAAUAGCUCUGGGGGUAGGGGUAGUUGGACUAGGAGUGACUCGGAGUCAUGGCGAAGGAAGGAGGUUGGGCAGGCCGGGGACAUGA